rnacentral:rRNA from 1 species
AUUGAACGCUGGCGGCAUGCCUUACACAUGCAAGUCGAACGGCAGCACGGGAGCAAUCCUGGUGGCGAGUGGCGAACGGGUGAGUAAUAUAUCGGAACGUGCCCAGUCGUGGGGAUAACGUAGCGAAAGCUACGCUAAUACCGCAUACGAUCUAUGGAUGAAAGCGGGGGAUCGCAAGACCUCGCGCGAAUUGGAGCGGCCGAUAUCAGAUUAGGUAGUUGGUGAGGUAAAGGCUCACCAAGCCGACGAUCUGUAGCUGGUCUGAGAGGACGACCAGCCACACUGGGACUGAGACAGGCCCAGACUCCUACGGGAGGCAGCAGUGGGAAUUUUGGACAAUGGGCGCAAGCCUGAUCCAGCAAUGCCGCGUGCAGGAUGAA